GACGAACGCUGGCGGCGUGCUUAACACAUGCAAGUCGAACGGAAAGGCCCUGCUUUUGUGGGGUGCUCGAGUGGCGAACGGGUGAGUAACACGUGAGUAACCUGCCCUUGACUUUGGGAUAACUUCAGGAAACUGGGGCUAAUACCGGAUAGGAGCUCCUGCUGCAUGGUGGGGGUUGGAAAGUUUCGGCGGUUGGGGAUGGACUCGCGGCUUAUCAGCUUGUUGGUGGGGUAGUGGCUUACCAAGGCUUUGACGGGUAGCCGGCCUGAGAGGGUGACCGGGCUCAUUGGGACUGAGAUACGGCGCAGACUCCUACGGGAGGCAGCGGUGGGAAGUAUUGUACAAUGGGCGGGAGCCUGAUGAGGAGACGCCGCGUGCGGGAUGACGGCCUGCGGGUUGUGAACCGCUUUAGCCUGUGACGAAGCGUGAGUGACGGUAAUGGGUAAAGAAGCACCGGCUAACUACGUG
rnacentral:rRNA from 1 species